rnacentral:rRNA from 1 species
UGGGUAACCUGCCUUAUAGUGGGGGAUAGCCUUUCGAAAGGAAGAUUAAUACCGCAUAAGAUUGUAGUAUCGCAUGAUAUAGCAAUUAAAAGGAGCAAUUCGCUAUAAGAUGGACCCGCGUCGCAUUAGCUAGUUGGUGAGGUAAUGGCUCACCAAGGCGACGAUGCGUAGCCGACCUGAGAGGGUGAUCGGCCACAUUGGGACUGAGACACGGCCCAGACUCCUACGGAGGCAGCAUG